GACGAACGCUGGCGGCGUGCUUAACACAUGCAAGUCGAACGGAAAGGCCCUGCUUUUGUGGGGUGCUCGAGUGGCGAACGGGUGAGUAACACGUGAGUAACCUGCCCUUGACUUUGGGAUAACUUCAGGAAACUGGGGCUAAUACCGGAUAGGAGCUCCUGCUGCAUGGUGGGGGUUGGAAAGUUUCGGCGGUUGGGGAUGGACGCGCGGCUUAUCAGCUUGUUGGUGGGGUAGUGGCUUACCAAGGCUUUGACGGGUAGCCGGCCUGAGAGGGUGGCCGGCGACAUGGGUACUGAGAGACGGAGCAGACGCCUACGGGGGGCAGCAGUGGGGAAUAUUGCCCAGUGGGCGGGAGCCUGAUGCAGCAGCGCCGCGGGCGGGAUGACGGCCUUCGGGGUGUGAACCGCUGUCGCCUGUGACGACGCGUGAGUGACGGUAAUGGAUAAAGAAGCACCGGCUAACUACGUG
rnacentral:rRNA from 1 species